rnacentral:lncRNA from 1 species
ACCUCGCCGCCGCGACUAGUACCUGGGGUAAGUUUUCCUGAAGCUUAUCGGAACGUGUAGUUCAACUGCGUCCUGCCGAAAGUCUGAACGGGAGUUGCCGGAAGUACUGCAGCUUGUCGAAAAUCCUCGCCGGAAAAAAUAAGGUAUCUGUCCAAGAAAACAGAACACGCCCACACACACCCACAAAAAGCAGAAGAGAGAAUAGAAAGAAAAGAGGAGGGGUCGCCAGAAAAAUCGCCGGCGAACAGCCUAUAAGACAGAAAUAGACAAUACUAGAAAGGAAAAUAAUCGGCACCACAACAGAUAAAAAUAAUCGGGACAACGAGAGAUAGGAAGGAGGGGUCGCCAGAAAAAUCGCCGGCGAACAGCCUAUAAGACAGAAAUAGACAAUACUAGAAAGGAAAAUAAUCGGCACCACAACAGAUAAAAAAUAAUCGAGACAACGAGAGAUAGGAAAAUAACAAAAAAUAACAUGAGUCACCAAACCCUAGAUUGAAAAACCCUAAACCUCGACCAAAAAAACACAAUAAAGUCAGAAAUACAAAUCAGCAACAAUGUAUAUAAAUAACAAAUAAAAGAACACAGAAAUGGCAAC